GUCGUUUUUGGAAGUCCUGAUUCUGUACCUUUAUCUUGAAGGAGGUUAAAGCAGAACUCAGUCCCCCUACAGGAAGUCCUGAUCCUGUACCUUUAUCUUGAAGGAGGUUAAAGCAGAACUCAGUCUCCCUACAGGAAGUCCUGAUCCUGUACUUUUAUCUUGAAGGAGGAGGUUAAAGCAGUACUCAGUCCCCCUACAGGAAGUCUUGAGCCCAUCCCUUUAUCUUGAAGAAGGAGGUUAAAGUAAGAGGAGACCUGGCUUGGGUCCCAGAUGAGGGCUUGAGUCCGGCUUCAGGGCUUGAGUCCGGCUUCAGGGCUUGAGUCUGGCUUCAGGGCUUGAGUCCCAGUUCAGGG
ensembl:lncRNA